rnacentral:rRNA from 1 species
UACAGAGGGGGCAAGCGUUGUUCGGAAUUACUGGGCGUAAAGGGCGCGUAGGCGGCCAACUAAGUCAGACGUGAAAUCCCCAGGCUCAACCUGGGAACUGCGUCUGAUACUGGAUGGCUCGAGUUCGGGAGAGGGAAGUGGAAUUCCAGGUGUAGCGGUGAAAUGCGUAGAUAUCUGGAGGAACACCGGUGGCGAAGGCGGCUUCCUGGACCGACACUGACGCUGAGGCGCGAAAGCGUGGGGAGCAAACAGG